GCUCCCCACGCCCGAUCGGCCGCCGCCAUCACUUCAGUGCCAGUGCGCUUGCGCGAACACGCCUCCUUCCAAUUCCUACGCAGAUUCAGGCCUCGGGAAGAGGACGGUCACGGGAAUUGCCUGCUUUAUGAUCACUCGACUCAGGCCACAGAGGAAGAGGACCCAGGCAGUCCUGAUGAGACUUAACAAGCUAUGGGCAGAUGGCAACAGAGGAAAACUCUCCCUUUCAGUAGACUAGGGGUUUCUAUGUAUGGCCCUGGCUGUCCUGGAACUCAGUUUGUAGACCGAACUGGCCUCAAAACCAGAGAUCUGGCUGCUGCUGCCUCCAGAGUAAAUUCAAAUAUCCCAA